rnacentral:rRNA from 1 species
GACGAACGCUGGCGGCGUGCUUAACACAUGCAAGUCGAACGGAAAGGCCCUGCUUUUGUGGUGUGCUCGAGUGGCGAACGGGUGAGUAACACGUGAGUAACCUGCCCUUGACUUUGGGAUAACUUCAGGAAACUGGGGCUAAUACCGGAUAGGAUCUCCUGCUGCAUGGUGGGGGUUGGAAAGUUUCGGCGGGUGGGGAUGGACUCGCGGCUUAUCAGCUUGUUGGUGGGGUAGUGGCUGACCAAGGCUUUGACGGGUAGCCGGCCUGAGAGGGUGACCGGCCACAUUGGGACUGAGAUACGGACCAGACUGCUACGGGAGGCAGCAGUGGGGAAUAUUGCACAAUGGGCGGAAGCCUGAUGAAACAACGCCGCGUGCGGGAUGACGGCCUUCGGGUUGUAAACCGCUUUCGCCUGUGACGAAGCGUGAGUGACGGUAAUGGGUAAAGAAGCACCGGCUAACUACGUG